rnacentral:rRNA from 1 species
AGCGAACGCUGGCGGCAGGCCUAACACAUGCAAGUCGAGCGCCGUAGCAAUACGGAGCGGCAGACGGGUGAGUAACGCGUGGGAACGUGCCCUUUAGUUCGGAAUAACCCAGGGAAACUUGGGCUAAUACCGGAUACGCCCUUCGGGGGAAAGAUUUAUCGCUAAAGGAUCGGCCCGCGUAAGAUUAGCUAGUUGGUGAGGUAACGGCUCACCAAGGCUAUGAUCUUUAGCCGUUCUGAGAGGAAGAUCAGCCACACUGGGACUGAGACACGGCCCAGACUCCUACGGGAGGCAGCAGUGGGGAAUAUUGGACAAUGGGCGCAAGCCUGAUCCAGCCAUGCCGCGUGAGUGAUGAAGGCCUUAGGGUUGUAAAGCUCUUUUACCAGGGAAGAUAAUGACGGUACCUGGAGAAUAAGCCCCGGCUAACUUCGUGCCAGCAGCCGCGGUAAAAC